rnacentral:ncRNA from 1 species
UGUUGUUGCAAUAGUAAUCCUGCUCAGUACGAGAGGAACCGCAGGUUCAGACCCCUGGUGCGUGCGCUUGGCUGAGGAGCCACUGGCGCGAGGCUACCAUCUGCGGGCUUAUGACUGAACGCCUCUAAGUCAGAAUCCCGCCUAGACGUAGCGAUACCGCAGCGCCGCCGGCGCCUCGGUGGGCUCGCGAUAGCCGGCCGUCCCGCCCCGCGCGGGGCGGGGCCCGGUGGGGAAUGCCGCUCGUAGCCGGGAACCGGAGGGGCGGACGGAUGGGGCGCCGCCUCUCCCCCGUUUCGGAACGCAUGGUCGUGGGGCACCCGGUGCUAAAUCAUUCGUAGACGACCUGAUUCUGGGUCAGGGUUUCGUACGUAGCAGAGCAGCUCCCUCGCUGCGAUCUAUUGAGAAUCAUCCCUCGACACAAGCUUUU